rnacentral:rRNA from 1 species
UACGGGGGGAGCAAGCGUUGUUCGGAUUUACUGGGCGUAAAGGGCGCGUAGGCGGCGUGACAAGUCACUUGUGAAAUCUCCGGGCUUAACCCGGAAAGGUCAGCCGAUACUGCGGGGCUAGAGUGCAGAAGGGGCAACUGGAAUUCUCGGUGUAGCGGUGAAAUGCGUAGAUAUGCGGAGGAACACCGAUGGCGAAGGCAAUCCCCUGGGCCUGCACUGACGCUCAUGCACGAAAGCGUGGGGAGCAAACAGGG